GACGAACGCUGGCGGCGUGCCUAAUACAUGCAAGUAGAACGCACAGUUUAUACCGUAGCUUGCUACACCAUAAACUGUGAGUUGCGAACGGGUGAGUAACGCGUAGGUAACCUGCCUGGUAGCGGGGGAUAACUAUUGGAAACGAUAGCUAAUACCGCAUAAUAUUAAUUAUUGCAUGAUAAUUGAUUGAAAGAUGCAACUGCAUCACUACCAGAUGGACCUGCGUUGUAUUAGCUAGUAGGUGAGGUAACGGCUCACCUAGGCGACGAUACAUAGCCGACCUGAGAGGGUGAUCGGCCACACUGGGACUGAGACACGGCCCAGACUCCUACGGGAGGCAGCAGUAGGGAAUCUUCGGCAAUAGACGAAAGUCUGACCGAGCAACGCCGCGUGAGUGAAGAAGGUUUUCGGAUCGUAAAGCUCGGUUGUAAGAGAAGAACGGGUGUGAGAGUGGAAAGUUCACACUGUGACGGUAUCUUACCAGAAAGGGACGGCUAACUACGUG
rnacentral:rRNA from 1 species